rnacentral:rRNA from 1 species
ACGGCAGCACGGGGGCAACCCUGGUGGCGAGUGGCGAACGGGUGAGUAAUACAUCGGAACGUGUCCUGUAGUGGGGGAUAGCCCGGCGAAAGCCGGAUUAAUACCGCAUACGACCUGAGGGAGAAAGCGGGGGAUCUUCGGACCUCGCGCUAUAGGGGCGGCCGAUGGCAGAUUAGCUAGUUGGUGGGGUAAAGGCCUACCAAGGCGACGAUCUGUAGCUGGUCUGAGAGGACGACCAGCCACACUGGGACUGAGACACGGCCCAGACUCCUACGGGAGGCAGCAGUGGGGAAUUUUGGACAAUGGGGGCAACCCUGAUCCAGCAAUGCCGCGUGUGUGAAGAAGGCCUUCGGGUUGUAAAGCACUUUUGUCCGGAAAGAAAACUUCGUCCCUAAUAUGGAUGGAGGAUGACGGUACCGGAAGAAUAAGCACCGGCUAACUACGUGCCAGCAGCCGCGGUAAUACGUAGGGUGCGAGCGUUAAUCGGAAUUACUGGGCGUAAAGCGUGCGCAGGCGGUCUGUUAAGACCGAUGUGAAAUCCCCGGGCUUAACCUGGGAACUGCAUUGGUGACUGGCAGGCUUUGAGUGUGGCAGAGGGAGGUAGAAUUCCACGUGUAGCAGUGAAAUGCGUAGAGAUGUGGAGGAAUACCGAUGGCGAAAGCAGCCUCCUGGGCCAACACUGACGCUCAUGCACGAAAGCGUGGGGAGCAAACACGAUUAGAUACCCUGGUAGUCCACGCCCUAAACGAUGUCAACUAGUUGUUGGGGAUUCAUUUCCUUAGUAACGUA